GCCUGGGUGGCUCAGUCGGUUAAGUGUCCGACUUCGGCUCGGGUCAUGAUCUUGCGGUUUGUGGGUUCGAGCCCCGCGUCUGGCU
rnacentral:tRNA from 1 species